rnacentral:rRNA from 1 species
UGGGGAAUAUUGCACAAUGGGGGAAACCCUGAUGCAGCGACGCCUCGUGAACGAAGAAGGUAUUCGUAUCGUAAAGUUCUGUCCUAUGGGAAGAUAAUGACAGUACCAUAGAAGAAAGCUCCGUCUAAAUACGUGCCAGCAGCCGCGGUAAUACGUAUGGAGCGAGCGUUGUCCGGAAUUAUUGGGCGUAAAGGGUACGCAGGCGGUUUAAUAAGUCGAAUGUUAAAGAUCGGGGCUCAACCCCGCAAAGCAUUGGAAACUGAUAAACUUGUAGAGUGGAGAGGAAAGUGGAAUUCCUAGUGUAGGGGUGAAAUAGGAAGAUAUUAGGAGGAAUACCGGUAGCGAAGGCGGCUUUCUGGACACAAACUGACGCUGAGGUACGAAAGCGUGGGGAGCAAACAGG